rnacentral:misc_RNA from 1 species
UGGAAGUAAAAGUCGUAACAAGGUUUCCGUAGGUGAACCUGCGGAAGGAUCAUUAAUAAAUUUUCCAACGAUGUGUUUGUUGUUGGAUAAUAAUAAUCAUCCUACCCCUUGUGAAUUUGUUGUUUGAAAUAAUUUUUUUUUAAAAAAUUAUUUAGAAAUGUCUUUCCCUGAUAUUGUGAGGAGGCCUGUAUGGGUUGAAUCGCAAUUCAGGGGAUAGAUUUUCUUAAUAAUUUUUUGAGAAAGACCUUUUUUUUAAAUAAAACUUUUUGUAUUCAUUUGUCUAAAUAAUUUUUAAAUAAAUAAUUUAAAAACAACUUUUGACAAUGGAUCUCUUGGUUCUCGCAACGAUGAAGAACGCAGCAAAAUGCGAUAAGUAGUGUGAAUUGCAGAAUACGUGAAUCAUCGAAUCUUCGAACGCAUAUUGCACUUUUUUAGUUUACUAAAAAAGUAUGUCUGUUUGAGUAUCAGUAAAAAUAUCUUCAUAAAAAAUUUAUUUUUUUUUAUGGUUUUGAGUGUUUUACAACGAUACAAGUUGUUUCACUUUAAAUUGAAUUUUUAAUUGGAUUGAAAAUUUCAAUUUUUUAAAAUUGGAUAAAAUUUUCCUUUUCCAAGGAAUAACCUAGACAAUUUUAAAAAUAAAAAUCUCAACCCAAACAGAAAGGAAAUUUAAAACAACUUGAUCUCAAAUCAGAUAAGAGUACCCGCUGAACUUAAGCAUAUCAAUAAGCGGAGGAAAAGAAACUAACAAGGAUUCCCCUAGUAACGGCGAGUGAAGCGGGAAGAGCUCAAAUUUGAAAUCUUAAAGGGUUUCCCUUUACGAAUUGUAGUUUAAAGAAGUGUUUUCUGUUGGAGUUUCGGUAAAAGUUCUUUGGAAUAGGACAUCAUAGAGGGUGAGAAUCCCGUAUUUGACCGUUACUUUCCAGCUGUGUGAUACACUUUCAAAGAGUCGGAUUGUUUGGGAAUGCAGUCCAAAAUGGGUGGUAAAUUUCAUCUAAAGCUAAAUAUUGGCGAGAGACCGAUAGCGAACAAGUACCGUGAGGGAAAGAUGAAAAGGAACUUUGAAAAGAGAGUUAAACAGUACGUGAAAUUGUCAAAGGGAAGCGUUUGACACCAGUGUUGUUUAGUUGAAAAUCAAUUCAAUAAUUUUUGAUUUUAAGUAGUAUUGACUUCAUCAGCUUGCUGCUUUCUUUUCAGGAAUUAUUGAAUGCACUUUUCAGUUAACAAGUCAACAUCAAUUUCUUUUGUUGUAAAAGGGUAAGAGGAAGGUGGCUUACGCUUCGGCGUAAGUGUUUAUAGCCUUUUACCUCUGCAAUCGAAGAGAUUGAGGACAGCAGCGUAGACUCCUUCGGGGUUAGAUACACUUGUGCUAAGCUAUAGCCUUGUAUGGACAACUUGUUGACUAUGCUCAGUCAUGUAGCUUACUCGCUUGUGCUAUUUUACCUACGCUUAGGAU